CGCUUCUCUAGGUUAUAACCUGGAUAUAGUCUGUCACCAACCACCAUAAAUUGCAGCCGAGCUACGCCUUGUUACGUUGAAGUUACGCGCAACUGACGUGGUACUCUGUCAUCAGCAUAACUCUAAGAGCCCAGUCCAACCUAAAUGAAAAGAAAUCAAUAUUUCACCCAGCGCGAAUGCAUGUCACAAUGUGAAGGCCAAACAAUAUUUUCCUUGCGAAGCAACGGGCAUUUAAUGCUAAUUAUACCACUACCAGACAGGGUUUUGUGUGUGUGUGUGUGUACAGUCGGAUGUAGGACUAUACCCUGUCAAACGGCGUAUGUUGCUCCAUAUAAACACAGGUUUGUGAAUAUAAUAGCGAUACAGUUAUAAACUAGUGGUCAACGUGCAAGUUUCAACCAGUCCAUAACGACGGGCAUAUGUAAACCAACCAACAAAAAUGAGACGUUGGACAUUUAGUUUUAACCAAUCGGCUGCCAUUGUCAUUUCACUGGUUGAACCAAUAACAACAGUUUUUAUAUAUCCACUCAUCGUUGACAUCUAUCUGGCAGGCUCAUUGGUGAAAACCUGUGAUGUCAUGUACACAAUUUUGGUUCAUCUGUUGCUAUUGGCCAUCACAUUAGCAAGUCUUUGUGCCAUGAAGUUUGGAAUGGAAAAUAUAUGUCAGCUUCACUCCUCGUUCGAAGGGAAGAAACAAUCUUUAUUUUUCACCUUUUCCAUCUGUGCAGUGUGGAACGUCUUGUUUACAAUUUAUAUCAUGGUGUUCCAUAAUCACUGGGCUUUAGUAGAGUCGUAUGUUCCACACAACAUGACGACGCCACCCGUGAAAAUUGAAGCAGUUUUUUCUCCAGCAUUGAAAAUACUUAUUCCACAAAUUUCCCUUCUCUUCUCGGUGUUGGUAGUGGCAACGGCAAUGUCGGUCUGCCGUCCAACAUGGAAGGCAUCGGACAAGGCGACAUUGAAAAAAAUUUGGAUUUAUCUCUUAAUGUCAUUGUUGUUCCAGACCAUAUAUAUGACAUCACGGUUGGCCUUCUGGCACUGUUCCAACACUGUGUAUGACAGACUGUCGAAAACCAUCGAUUUUAUAGACUGGAUCUGUUAUUCCAAGUCUUUUGUUUUCAUUGUUGUCAUCAUGUCGUUCUACUACUUGCAGUAUUUUAUUAAGACAGAGUUAGCUAGAAGAGGAGUUAUUAGCAUAAUGGACUAUCGUCCACUAUUUAAUAAUGACCAUUAAAACUGUCUUUGGAA